rnacentral:piRNA from 1 species
UGAAGCCUACCUCCUCCCAGGGAUUUUCUG